rnacentral:rRNA from 1 species
UACGUAGGGGCAAGCGUUGUCCGGAAUCAUUGGGCGUAAAGAGCGUGUAGGCGGCCCGGUAAGUCCGCUGUGAAAGUCCAGGGCUCAACCCUGGGAUGCCGGUGGAUACUGUCGGGCUCGAGUCCGGAAGAGGAGUGUGGAAUUCCUGGUGUAGCGGUGAAAUGCGCAGAUAUCAGGAGGAACACCAAUGGCGAAGGCAGCACUCUGGGACGUGACUGACGCUGAGACGCGAAAAGCGUGGGGAGCAAACAGG